AGCACUUUGAAGAGAGAGUUAAAGAGGACGUGAAACCGGUGAGGUGGAAACGGAUAGAGCCAGCGUAUCUAGCCUGUAUUCAACCAACUAGUAGUUGUUGUUAGGCGUACCGGCUCCAGAUUGGGACGGUGUCUGGCUGCGGCUACAUGGUGGUGCAUUUACAGGUGGAGUGCGCCGAGGACUUAGUGGCAGCGAGAUGACACUUGUGUUGAGGCCAGCUACAAGUCUGGUACCCACGCAAAUGAGAUUGUUGUUUCUCAUUGAGGAUUAUUUGUGGUGGCUUACGGGUUUUAAUGGUGGCCAGGCUGAGCAUUGGUUACGGCCGCAUGCGACACGUGCCAGUGAUUGGUUCGGUCCUGUUACUGCUCACACCAUAAUCUCGGUGUAAAAGCUGGUCAUCUAUCCGACCCGUCUUGAAACACGGACCAAGGAGUUUAUCGUGUGCGCGAGUCAUUGGGUGUCUAAAACCCAAGGGCGCAAUGAAAGUAAAUAUACCCGUAAGGGGCUGACGUGCGAUUGUUGCUGUUUCGGCAGUGACAAGCAGCAUGGUCCCAUCCCGACUGCUUGCAGUAGGGUGGAGGAAGAGCGUACGCGAUGAGACCCGAAAGAUGGUGAACUAUUCCUGAGCAGGAUGAAGCCAGAGGAAACUCUGGUGGAAGUCCGAAGCGAUUCUGACGUGCAAAUCGAUCGUCUGACUUGGGUAUAGGGG
rnacentral:rRNA from 1 species